CCUUUUGAGGCCAAACCCUAAUUCACAUCCCACUUUCAUCGUGCGCCGCUGCCCCCAUAGAUUCUGCCCCACCCAAGAAACCCACCUCCUCCCUUGCGCCGCCCCUAGCAAGAUCCCUCCCGCCGGCCGCCCCGAGGCAGAUCUCCCACGCGCGCUCGUGACCUGCUGCGGCUGCGGAACCACCAGCGGUGGCUGCGGCGCCACCGUCUCCUGGCCUUCGAUCCCCUCGUCCGCCCUCCGUUCCCUCCUCCUUCUCGCACCACGACGUGGUCGUCAUGGGCGGCAGCAUCGUCGGGCUCACUGCCAAGAUGGACGCGGCCGCUAGAUAUGGCCUCGGGGUCGAAGGAUCUGGCCGCCUCUAUCUAUUUCCCUAACCCUCCCAUAGAAAUCUCUCUAGGAUUCUCUCUCAGUAUCUCUCUUUCUCUCUGCAGGCGCACCCUGACACGAGGUGGACGGAACUAGCGGCUGUGAGGUGAACGGUGCUCCUGUACGUGGUUGAAGUUGGAUGCAGGAAGGCUUUAUACGCAGUGAAUUGUUUCUUAUCUUCUUAAGAGUAUAUAGUCAUAUAUCUCUGUAGCUAAUCAUAUCCUCCUCUUAUCUGAAAUAUCGCAUGGUUGUAACAUCUUUGUAAACUGCAUUCCUGGGUGAUGUGAACUAUAGCAUUGUAAUAUAUAUAUUCU